GCAUGUAGCUCAGUGGUAGAGCAUGUAGUCUGCAUGCCAAAGGUUGUAAGUUCAAUCCCUUGCAUCUGCA